rnacentral:lncRNA from 1 species
GGCCUUGAUCAGCUGGCCUCUAGGUGCUACUGCAAUAUAAACGUUUAAUGUAAUAACUUAAAAUAGUAGGGCUUUAACCACACUGUAUUAUUUGUCAUACUAAGGGAGACCUGCACAGCUAGCUUUAUUUAUGGCAGGAGGGACUCAAACAUGACAGAAAGGCACUGAUCUGAGCAGAGAAGAAGACAGCAUACUCUGGCAGAGAACUUUCUUUCUUUAAGCGAAGGAUUGCAUACUUCCGUUUGCUAAGAAAUAUGGGCUUUGGAAUAAAGAAAGUAUCAGUGCUUACUGACACCAGCUUGGAGUCUCAAGCCUGGUUAGUGGCGAGUACCAUAAUCUCACCUCAAAGAAAGACCAGCAUGCUGAAGGGAGCCAAGUGUAAUCACCACCAGAGGAAAUGAGACAAUUUGGCAGCAGCGUCAGCAGGGGAGCCAACUGGGAUGUGUGUAAAGUGUAAGAAUAUCUGUGCUCACUAUGUAUGCACAAAGGUUUUGAUUUGCAUAAAAACGGUGCCGAACUGGAGCGAAAACAAAGAAAGAGUGUAUAGGUAGUCACCUACCCCAGCACCCUGUGUCUGGCUGCUGAAAAGGUUUUGGUUUCACGGCAGAAGCACAAAUAAAGCAUGAAGCUAAAUAAUUAAAGCCUGGCA